rnacentral:rRNA from 1 species
UACAGAGGGUGCGAGCGUUGUUCGGAAUUACUGGGCGUAAAGCGCACGUAGGCGGCUUUGCAAGUCAGAGGUGAAAGCCCGGGGCUCAACCCCGGAAUUGCCUUUGAGACUGCAGAGCUAGCAGGUGAGAGAGGUGAGUGGAAUUCCGAGUGUAGAGGUGAAAUUCGUAGAUAUUCGGAAGAACACCAGUGGCGAAGGCGACACACUGGCCCGUUUCUGACGCUCAGGCGCGACAGCGUGGGGAUCAAACAGG